rnacentral:tRNA from 1 species
GGGUCGUUAGCUCAGUCGGUAGAGCAGUUGACUUUUAAUCAAUUGGUCGCAGGUUCGAAUCCUGUACGACCCACCA